GGGGCAUUAGCUCAGCUGGUAGAGCGCCUCGCUGGCAGCGAGGAGGUCAGCGGUUCGACUCCGCUAUGCUCCACCC
rnacentral:tRNA from 1 species